CCUACGGGUGGCUGCAGUGGGGAAUAUUGCACAAUGGGCGCAAGCCUGAUGCAACCAUGCCGCGUGUGUGAAGAAGGCCUUCGGGUUGUAAAGCACUUUCAGCGGGGAGGAAGGCGUUAAGGUUAAUAACCUUGUCGAUUGACGUUACCCGCAGAAGAAGCACCGGCUAACUCCGUGCCAGCAGCCGCGGUAAUACGGAGGGUGCAAGCGUUAAUCGGAAUUACUGGGCGUAAAGCGCACGCAGGCGGUCUGUCAAGUCGGAUGUGAAAUCCCCGGGCUCAACCUGGGAACUGCAUUCGAAACUGGCAGGCUAGAGUCUUGUAGAGGGGGGUAGAAUUCCAGGUGUAGCGGUGAAAUGCGUAGAGAUCUGGAGGAAUACCGGUGGCGAAGGCGGCCCCCUGGACAAAGACUGACGCUCAGGUGCGAAAGCGUGGGGAGCAAACAGGAUUAGAUACCCGUGUAGUC
rnacentral:rRNA from 1 species